GGACUGCACCUGUGGUUGACUGCAUAGGAGUUCAGACACAUAACCAUUAUGCCUUCUUCUGGCUCCUUGAAAAAGCUAAGUUUGACCAAAAUGAAGAGCAGAUUACAAAUAGUCCUGGUGGCCUAGAGUCGGAGGGAAGGAAACAAAGACCGAGACAGGGCCAUCAGGAGUUAAGAAAAUUCUCUUCCUUCUUCCAUGCAUUACCAGAAGAAAGACAUGCAAGCACAUGGCUAAAAGGUGGAGAUAUCUACAGGCUAGGAAGAGACGGCUCAUCAGGAACCAAAUUAAAUGGCAUUUUGAUCAAGGACUUCUAGCCUCCAGAACUAUUAUGCUGAAGAGGAGGGAGAGGAUUUAUAACCUAAUUCCUAUAGCAUCACAAGGAAAGAAAAACUAUGACCACUUUCAAUUUACAUGAAUCAGCUACCAUGUUGUGAGGACACUCAAGUAUGAAAAAGUCCUGCAUGGAGAAAAACUGAGACCCUCAGCCAACAUUCAGGGAGAAACAGAAACCCCUGCCAACAACCACAUGAAUGAGCUUGAAAGAGCUAAACAGACCUCAUUCCUUCGUUCAUUACCUAUGCUCAGAAGGACUGCUUGAGGAUUCAUCAUACCAUAACACUCGCUCUCGCUUCUGUUGGACAAGUAUCUCUGUUAGCUGGAACCUAUUUCAAGACUGGCAGGGCCAAGGAAGAGAUCAA